rnacentral:misc_RNA from 1 species
UUACCUGUUACGACCACCCCAGUCAUGAAUUUACCGUAGGCACGCCUCUCCCACGGCCAGCUAACUACUCUGGUGUGUUCCAAUCCCAUGGUGUGAGGGGCGGCGUAGCAGACUGCAAUCAGAUUCACCGCGACAGAUUUCAUGACCCUGAUCUCUCACGAGUAGUCGAGUUGCAGACUGCGAUCUGGACUACGAUCAAUUUCUUGGGAUUGGCACCGGGUUGGGCGACCUCUGUCCUGACCAUUGCAUGACGCCCUGCUCCAUAAGGGCCAUGACUCCUGAUGUCAUCCCCGCCUUCCUCCGGUUUGUCACCGGCAGCCUCAUUAUUCGUAGCAACUAAUGACAAGGUUGUUGCGGGAUCCUUAACCUGGGACAUCCACGACACGAGCUGACGAUUACCAUGCGGCACCCAAAUUCCGCUGGGAUUCCAGACAUGGCGCUGUAUCGACACCGUCCCCGUCACUCCCUGGAGUCCAGACAGCCACGCAGCUGCGCCACCAAGGCCCGAAGGCCCCAACAGCUAGAGUGUGUCAGAGGGAGGUGGAAUUCCGCGUGUAGCAGUGAAAUGCGUAGAUAUGCGGAGGAACACCGAUGGCGAAGGCAGCCUCCUGGGAUAACACUGACGCUCAUGCACGAAAGCGUGGGGAGCAAAACAGGAUUAGAUACUCCGGUAGUCCACGCCCUAAACGAUGUCAACUAGCUGUUGGGGCCUUCGGGCCUCGGUAGCGCAGCUAACGCGUGAAGUUGACCGCCUGGGGAGUACGGUCGUAAGAUUAAAACUCAAAGGAAUUGACGGGGACCCGCACAAGCGGUGGAUGAUGUGGAUUAAUUCGAUACAACGCGAAAACCUUACCUACCCUUGACAUGUCUGGAAUCCCGAAGAGAUUUGGGAGUGCUCGCAAGAGAACCGGAACACAGGUGCUGCAUGGCUGUCGUCAGCUCGUGUCGUGAGAUGUUGGGUUAAGUCCCGCAACGAGCGCAACCCUUGUCAUUAGUUGCUACGAAAGGGCACUCUAAUGAGACUGCCGGUGACAAACCGGAGGAAGGUGGGAUGACGUCAAGUCCUCAUGGCCUUGCGGGUAGGGCUUCACACGUCAUGGCCAAUGGUCGGGACAGAGGGUCGCCAACCCGCGAGUGGGGAGCCAAUCCCAGAAACCUGAUCGUAGUCCGGAUCGCAGUCUGCAACUCGACUGCGUGAAGUCGGAAUCGCUAGUAAUCGCGGAUCAGCAUGUCGCGGUGAAUACGUUCCCGGGUCUUGUACACACCGCCCGUCACACCAUGGGAGUGGGUUUUACCAGAAGUAGUUAGCCUAACCGUAAGGAGGGCGAUUACCACGGUAGGAUUCAUGACUGGGGUGAAGUCGUAACAAGGUAG